rnacentral:lncRNA from 1 species
AUCUUUCCAUGACUAUGACUUUCACACUACUCAGCCUCUCUCUCAACGUAUUUUAGAUGAACCGAUUUUAUCUCGAUUCAAGAUGUCACAGAUGGAGCCAUAUGACGGCUCCAUCGAUCUAAUUGAUCACUUGGAGAGCUAUAAGGCUCUCAUGAUGAUUCAAAAGGCAACCGACGUCCUUUUAUACAUUGGCUUUUCGGCAAC